UGACAAAUCGAUACAGCAGUAUUUUUGUCUUUGUUUAAUAUUCAGUGAGAAAUAAGGACAGAAUUACUGCUGUGCCUGCGUUCGAAAAUAGCUUUAGCUGGUGUUGGAAAAAAAGGUUAAGUUGGUAGUAUUGAGAAUUCCCAACGCUGUGUUCGUUUUCUCCCAGCUGGAAGUAGUUGGAGAUCGAUCGAAUAGGUGCAUUAUUUAGUGCAAAUGACAACAAAAUAUCUUAACAAGCGAUAACGUACACACGUGUUUUAUAUAACUUAUACCUACGAUUGUUGAAAUUUAGCAAAUUCAAGGCUCUUUCUUUUCGUAUUGUUGAACAAGAAACAAAAGUCAAUAAAAAGAAUAUACAAAUUUAAUCAAUA